GCCAGCGUGGCGUAGUGGUUUGAGCGUUGGACUACAACUCUGGAGUCCAGGGUACGAUUCCUAGCUUGACC
rnacentral:tRNA from 1 species